CUGGUUGAUCCUGCCAGUGAUCAUAUGCUUGUCUCAAAGAUUAAGCCAUGCAUGUCUAAGUAUAAGCCUUUGUACGGCGAAACUGCGAAUGGCUCAUUAAAACAGUUAUAGUUUAUUCGAUUAUCAAUUGCUACAUGGAUAACUGUAGUAAUUCUAGAGCUAAUACAUGCGUCAAAACCCGACUUUACGGAAGGGUCGUGUUUAUUAGAUACAAAACCAACAUCUCGUUGGUGAAUCAUAAUAACCAAGCGAAUCGUCGGUUUGCCGACGAUAGAUCGUUCAAGUUUCUGACCUAUCAGCUUUGACGGUAGUGUAUUGGACUACCGUGGCAAUGACGGGUAACGGAGAAUUAGGGUUCGAUUCCGGAGAGGGAGCCUGAGAAACGGCUACCACAUCUAAGGAUGGCAGCAGGCGCGCAAAUUACCCAAUCCUGACACAGGGAGGUAGUGACAAGAUAUAACAAUGCAGGGCAAAUUGUCUUGCAAUUGGAAUGAGUAAAUUCUAAACCCCUUUGCGAGUACCAAUUGGAGGGCAAGUCUGGU
rnacentral:rRNA from 1 species